UACGAAGGGGGCUAGCGUUGCUCGGAAUCACUGGGCGUAAAGCGUGCGCAGGCGGUUUUGUAAGCCAGAUGUGAAAUCCCCGGGCUUAACCUGGGAAUGGCAUUUGGGACUGCAAGGCUCGAGUGCGGCAGAGGAGACUGGAAUUCCUGGUGUAGCAGUGAAAUGCGUAGAUAUCAGGAGGAACACCGAUGGCGAAGGCAGGUCUCUGGGCUGACACUGACGCUCAUGCACGAAAGCGUGGGGAGCAAACAGG
rnacentral:rRNA from 1 species